GUGCUUGCUUCAGCAGCACACACACGAAAAUUGGAACGAUACAGAUAAGAUUAGCAUGGCCCCUGCACAAGGACGCACGCAAAUCGUGAAGUGUUCCAUAUUUUA